UACGUAAGGGGCGAGCGUUGCUCGGAAUUACUGGGCGUAAAGGGCGUGCAGGUGGGUAUACAAGUCGAAUGUAAAAAACCGCGGCUCAACUGCGGGGAUGCGUUCGAAACUGUAUACCUUGAGUCUGGUGGAGGGUGAUGGAAUUCCCGGUGUAGCGGUGAAAUGCGUAGAUAUCGGGAAGAACACCGAAGGCGAAGGCAGUCAUCCAUGCCAAGACUGACACUGAGGCGCGAAAGCAUGGGUAUCAAACAGG
rnacentral:rRNA from 1 species